CAGCAGCCAAGGAUUGUUAUGUCAUUUUGGUCUCAGAUACCUUAGUCUUGAGUUGUGUCCUGCGAUGGGAAAAUGGUAAUUGAGACAGAUUUACACCGAGAGAACACCUCUGUCUCCUCUCUACUCAUCCCUACUCUUUGAAAUAGACACUCUGACACGGUAGAAGGAGAUGGCAACCCCUUCCCGAGCCCAGGCGUGCUGUCGUGGUUAGAACGCUUUAAAAUUGCUGAGAGUUCUUGGCAUUGGAAAUCCUUAAGUAACAUUUUGUUACCAAACAUGGAAAACUAAAGAGUUUUGGAUACCAAAUCCAGGAAAAAUAAGGGCGUUAGGAAAAGUCCAGGGAAAGCGGACUCAAUGAACAAACUGUUAAGAGUCCUCUCUUACCAUGUCUGGCUGGCGGCGACCCAGAUGCCAUGUGAUGGCCAUUUGAAGACAGGCUUGUCGGACAUCAGGCUGGUCUCUUCCCGUUUCCAUGAUCACAGCAUCUCAUGAUCUUGUCACCUCUGUGAGUCGUCAUUCUCUCCAGCCACAGUGACCUGGGUUUCACUUCAACAGUCACUUUAUAUUUAUCCAAGGUACAGGACCCUCUAAAUGUUGACCUUUCUCAUCUCCUAUCCUCAUGUGACAACAGCAGGUGAUUAUAGGGUCUUUUGUCUUUUGUCUCAGGAGGCUGCAGUGAUGCUUACAUGAGUGAUGCCCUUGAGUAGCAGCUGUUAUUUAUCUUGAUGAUUUCUACCUGGAGUGUAGGUGGCCUUUGAGAAUCAGCACCUUUUGGUUUGCUUUUACUUUUUUUCUUCCCCCCUUUGGCUGUGGGGCAUGUGGAAUCUUAGUUCCCUGACCAGAGAUCAA